AAUUCCAUGCAAGUGGAAAUGAGAAAAUUUUCGCCUUCGGCGAAAUUAGACUACUUUUAAAAACACAAUAACUUUUCGAAAUAUUACGUUGGGGCACUGCCCCCCCUGGCCAUUCAUCCUGGCUACGGGCCUGGUAUCCAAGUUACAA